rnacentral:rRNA from 1 species
UACGGAGGGGACUAGCGUUGCUCGGAAUUACUGGGCGUAAAGCGCACGUAGGCGGAUUUGUAAGUCAGGGGUGAAAUCCCGGGGCUCAACCUCGGAACUGCCUUUGAUACUGCAAAUCUCGAGUCCGGAAGAGGUGAGUGGAAUUCCUAGUGUAGAGGUGAAAUUCGUAGAUAUUAGGAAGAACACCAGUGGCGAAGGCGGCUCACUGGUCCGGUACUGACGCUGAGGUGCGAAAGCGUGGGGAGCGAACAGG